CCCACUUCGCAACUUGCAGGACUUAAAGGAUCUGCUGCUAACAUCUUGGUGCCAGAUACCACAGCACACCUUCAGGGGUUUAGUGGAGUCCAUGCCUCGACGGGUCAGGGCUGUUUUGGCAGCAAAAGGGAGACCAACACAAUAUUAGGAAGGUGGUCAUAAUGUUAUGCCUGAUCGGUGUAUGUGGACUUGUACUAUUAGUUUUCUAAACAAUCAGACUUAUGAUUUCCUCAUAGCUAAUCAAAAGAGCAAAACAAUCCCAUAUACGUAACUGAAGAUAUCUAGAGACCUUUUAAAUCUCAGAACAUGUAGGUGAGCUCUACUUGGGCCAGUAAUUGACUAUUCAAAAAUUUACUUGGCAUUAGCAUUGUUGUGGAGGUUUUUCACAUGCAAGAACAUUUAUAUAAUAAUUUAGAAAAUGCAAAAAUGUAUUUUAUACUGUUAGAACAGACUAUGUCAGAAGAUAAGCAACACAUUACAAAAACCCUUUAAAGCUCUCUUUCUCCAGUACAAUACAGUUGUGCUGAUAGGAAAUCCAUCGUUUCGGCUCCUUCAUCCCAACUCAUUGUUUAUUUUCAGUGGUUGGCUAAAGAUCAGGUAUAAAUGUGGAAACUGGAAACCAAAAGUGGAUUUUUAAUCAAUGCAAGGUAAAUGGACAUGGAUGUUCAUAUUUGCUCAAGGCAAACAAAAUGAUUUGAUCACUGGCAGAAAACAAGGCUCUGUCAACAAAGCCAUGGCUGUUGCUAGGGCUUCUAUGGCACCUGGUACAGGUAAAACACAUCCAAAUUACCCAUAAUGUUGGUGUUUUUUAUUUGUGCUUAUUGACUUGUAUGUAGUUUAUAUUCAUUUUGCAACAAAAAUGGCAAAACACUGAACACUGUUGGUCAGAAUUUGAGACAUUUUGAUUCCAAAUUAGGUCUGAAUUUGAUUCCAAAUGGACAUCCUGCACAAUUUAUAUUACAUGAAUCAGAUCCAGUCUUCAGAGCUUGUUUUCUUUGCUUAAGCAGUUUUCCUUACAGCAGAAUUGGAGAGGGGUCAAGUCAUUUACGUCAUUUUUGUGCUGCUCACUUACUUUAGCGCAUGAACCAUUUGUUGUGACGUGCCCUGCUGCGGCAGAGCAAUAAGUGAUAAGGGCAAAACCGUUUAUCUUGUAAAAAACACUUGUUUAAUGAGCCCCUCUCUGUCCACUCCUUCUUGUUCUUUCUGUUUUUCUUCCUCAGGAAAACCAUACCAUAUUUAAAGCAUUGGCCAAAUCCAAAAUCCCUCUGCCAACAUGACUGUUUUAAUCCCCCUCUCUUAUAUAUCUGUAUGAAUUUUGUGGUUCAAAGCAGAUGAAUUCAUUCCAUGUUACACAGGGUUUAAGCUGGUUUGACAGGAAAAAUCUCUUGUCUAGACAUGGUUAAACUGACAAAUCCAGUGUUUCUUGUAUUUUGGUACACUGCAGAAUGCAAAACAUAGUGUGUUUUCCCCAGAUUGUGUAACUGACAUGGGCUAGGUUAUUUCAGAUUUGUUUAAUUGUUAUUUUCUAAAUUGCAUAAUAUAUUGUGUAUACUGCAGUUUUGCAUAGCACAAUGAAGUACCCAGUGUUUGGUGCUCUUAAUAAAGAAGCAAGACUUAGCUGGUGAAGCUAGUUGACCAAGGUAGUCUUGCUGGUUAAGCUAGUUAAGCAGCCUUGUAGGGAAACCAGCGCACUAGCAUCCAAAACACUCCAUAGAAGUUAUCUGAUAUUUCUAUGUUUUUGAUAUCAUAAGUCCACAAGAAUAGCUUAAUGGGUUUGGGUCAUUCUUCAGUUGAGGUGAUAAAUAGUGUCCCCUUAUUUUCCAACAGUUGAAACUUUAAAUACCAAUAAAUCAUAAAAUAUUUGCAUAUUUAUAUUCUGUAGGGUGAAAACAAUUUGUGAACUGUUAAAAAAAAAAGAAAAAAAAAAAAAAGUAUAUUUAAUCAAGUUGAGAGAUUUCAUGUGUAACAAAAUCUGCAUGUUCCCACCAUACCUCAAAGAGGUAUCCUGGCAUGCAACUGCAAAAAUAUAACAUUCUUAAAACAAAUAAAAUGGUUAUAUUGUGAUCUAUAUUUAAUUUAACAAGUACAAUUUAACUAAAUUGUUUAACAUUUUGUUAUAAUUUAAGAAAAAGUUGUAUCCCCCAACUUCGUCUGUGGUGUUACAGUAAUGGAUAUUGCCCAUUUAGGAAAGGGGGGAUUGUAUUUGGACUACUUCCUGUGUGUAAAGGUCAUUGCAGGUGCUAGUUGAUCUGAGGGGUGCAUGGUGAGUUGAUUCUUAUUAAUUUGUAACCAAUCAGGCAGAACAUUAUGGCCACCUUGGAUUGGCCUCCAUGGAUUGGACUUGUUUGUUCAGCACAUCCCACAGAUGCUCAAUUGGAUUGAGAUCUGUUGAAUUUGGAGGCCAAGUCAACACCUCAAACUCGUUGUUGUUCUCCUCAAACCAUUCCUGAACCAUUUUUGCUUUGUGGCAGGGCGCGUUAUCCUGCUGAAAGAGGCCACAACCACCAGAGAAUACCGUUUCCAUGAAAGGGUGUACAUGGUCUGCAACAGUGCUUAGAAUUGUUGGAGCACACACAUGAGGGAACAACAUUAACAUGAGGGAUGACUAAAACGUGGAUGACGUGAUGACGUGAUGACUUGAAGAUGACUUGAAUGACUGGCGAUCGACUUGGAUGAGUUAACAGCUAGCAAGGUAGUCAGGAACAUAAAGCAGGUAAGUAGCAAGAUAAGUAUUCUGUAGCAUCAGAAGAGGUCAAACCAUGACUGAGGGAGUGUGUGUGUUCUGUAUAGUGCUGGUGAUGAGGGCUAGAUGUGUUUCAGGUGUGCAUGGUUAGGUGCGGGAAGGAUGAUGAGAAAUACAAUCCGUGAUCGUGGGCGUGUAGUGUAUGUUUGAGCUGUUUUAGCUGAAAGCAACUUGGACCGACAUUUCUUAAAAUAUGUCAGUGCCAUUGUUUUGUCUCAAGAAGCACACCAGCAAUGUUUUUUUUUUUUUCCGAAGGCAUUUUUUUUAAAAAGCUACUUAAAUGUCAUAAUUGAACUAAGGCCUAAUCCUGGCUUAAUCUAAGCCCUGUCUGUGAAAUCAGGCCUAUAUUUCUUAACACACUUAAGUACACUUUUAAAAAGUCCUACUUAAGUGGGUCAAAAAGCGCUCUAAAGUUCUGCAUUUAAUAUAAAUUUCAACUAUAAUACAUUUAACAUUUUAGUUGCAAUUAAGGAUCCGAAAACAUUACAAUCAGUUCGCACUUAAGUAUAUUAUUUUAAAGUUUAUUAUGGUAUGUUAAAGUGUACUUCUUUUUUACAAGGGUAUCUGGGAAUGCGGCCUUGAUGUACCAUACCAACCAUAUUGGAGGUCUACAAAUGUGGGUAGGUAGGUGUCAUUGAUAAUUGCCCAUGCAGAGUGACCAGGUGACCUGGAAGACCAAGCAAGUCUUGUGUUCAAUGACAUGCUGGAUGCCUUUCACAUGCUUUCUGGGAAAUGCUUAGCAUUAUUUCCUAAAACUACAACUCUGAAACAGCCUCAAGAGCAAAGGGGUACAUGUGCUACGUGCUCAGAGGCCUGCAACCUACAUUGAGCACACUUUAACUGCCUUUCUGACACUGAAGAUUCAUUGUUUCUACAUACUUCCAUGUAUACUUUUUAUAAGUGUACCUAAGUGUGUUAAGAAAAAGUCUUGAAAGUGAACUCUCUUUAAGUACACUUAAGUGGCUUUUUAUUUCAUUAAUAUUAUAUUAUCUGCAAGUAUAGUUAAAAAUGUACUUUGAUGAUUUGAAGUACACUACAAGUUCACAUUUAAUACAAUUAAGCACAGUUCUUUUUCACAAGGGCGGUUUCACUUUUGAUGUAGAUUCAGUGCAUCUAUUGUAUUGCCAAAAAGCAAACAGAUUAAUUGUUUCAUGACUGAAAAACUAGUUGGGAAUAUUUAGACAGGUCAGUCACUCUUGACCUUUGACUUCAAACAAAAAUUUUCUUGACCUUUGGGAGAAAACAAGCCCUCUCUUGCCAUUUAAAGCUUUACAAAUAAUAAAGUCAAUGACCGUAAAAAGCAUUUGGAAAGGUUUUUCAGAAUCUUUUAAACAAUGUGACAGUUCACGAGUUUACACGUACAUGAAAUCAAAUUAAAGUAAUUAGUAUAGUAAUUUAUGCGUAUUUGCCGUGCUGUCCGGGGGAGGGCUCCGAGCUCGGAAUUUGGCCCGAACCCAGAGUACUCCCCCUCCUUAACUGGGAUAGAAACCAGCCAAGAGUGAGGUGAUGGGGUGGUGGAGGGAUGCUGUGAAACUUGUCGCGGGAUAGAGGUGAGAGACGGCUUUAUAUACCGGCUUUCUCUUGCACUGAUUGGUUGAUUACUUGAAAGUGCGCCUCCCGAAUUUUGUUAAAUAAAACUUCAUUUCAUGUACUGAUUAUAACAAAA